CCUGGACUGCAGCGACUCUCACGCCUUGGCCUCCCAAAGUGCUGAGAUGACAGGCAUGAGCCGCCACGCUGGCCUAGGUCAUUCUUUAUAGGCAGAUGCACCUGCUUCUUCAUAUUCAUGCCUUUGAUGCCUCCUCUCUCGGUGACUCAGAAGCAAACACAGAUGAAACCCCUACAUCAUGUGCACAGGCCAGACAUGCAUAUUCAUUACAUUUUUCAAAGUUCUUUAUGAGUGGGAUUUCCUGUAGUACCUGAGGACCAUCUUGAUUUACUUUAAUUCUGGGUCUCAUGUUCAGGUUCCCCCACCUUUUUCUGGUUUUGUGACUUAUGUCUCAUCAGGGCUCCUAAUGCAGGAGAAGGGCUGAGUGUUUGCUGCUGAUGGUUUGGGAUAGUGUGUCUGCUCAGCAUGGGAAGGAGAAGGCUAAGAUGACACCAUUGGCUGUUUUAGGGUCGUCUCAUGAGGAGUUAGCAGAUUUUUCCUCUUUUACUAAGAGGCUGGAAGGAGUACUGCUGUGGAGAGAAGUCCAGGAAGAAAUCAGCUCAUCUAAGGAAGAGUGUUCUAACGAGAGAGGCUCAGAGGGAAGGUGUUAGGAGUUUCCAGAAAUGACCCAAGGAGGAGUCAUUCCAGAAGAUGGAAAGCAUUUGCUAUGGUGUUGUGGAGGGCAUUUUUCCACUGGGAUGAUUUGGACUUUUUGACAGCUUCCGGUUUCUUCUGAUUCUCAGAGGCUGUGAAUUCAUGAUAGAAGCAGCCUUUUUGCAUUCUUUAGGUCUUCAUCAUCAAAAUUGCUUGUGUGUGUGUGUUUCUGUUUACCCAGGUAAGUUUCUAGCCUUUUCGUUCCCUAGUGUUGCUAUGCUAACCCUGCAGUGUGUCCUACAUCCUUGAGGACAGGACCUGGGAUGCCACCAACACUGUCCCCCAGAACUUGUCCUUGAUGUUCUGAUGCAAACCCAGAGGAACAGCUGUCCAGCUCCAGCCUGAUUUACAUACACAACCCAGGUGCCCUUUGGGGAGCCACACAAAAGAGAAAGCAAAGGUGAGUGAGUCAGGGUUUGGGGAAGAAAAGGCACUCAGCAGCCGAGAGGCAAAAAGCAGAGGAGCCAGUGUCUUUCAGUGGUUUGCAUCUAUCUCUUUGUGUCUCUCCCCAAAGUUUCUGAGGCUCCCCACACCCCAGGAAGGGCAUCUCUGAGAGUGUCCUUCUGGUGACAAGGCUCUGUGGGAGCAGCGAGGGGCAGAAAGGCUCACGUAGAAAAGGAGGAGGCAUGGCUGCCCCAGAUCGCUCUGGAGACUGAAGGUGCAAUCGCCAUGGAUAUGACAUCCACCCUCGUGAUUGUGGUCGGGUUUUGUCUAUGAUGUGAGGGAUCUAACGAUGCUUCUGAAUGGCUGCAAACAUGUGCCAUGUUCCCACUGAACGGGCUUCCUUCUCGCAGUAUUUUCCUUACCUGGCCCUUUGCAAGAACAUUCUACACGGAUUUCCCUGAAUUUGAAAUCUGAGCUCAUGACUUUAGAGACAGUGCUGGCUGACUUCAUUCCAGGAGGACUGAGCUCUUCCAUUUUCCGACAGACAUGGUGCAUUCUGUGGUCACUUUCCAAGAGCCCGUGGUGGGUUGUCCUGUUUCUGUUGGUGGGAAACAAGUUAAACACAAUUUGCUAUUUGCCUUUCACCCCUCAGUUCAUCAUGAGAUCAUUAGUCGGCUGAGUGACUGCUGUCCCCCAGGGGCUGGGAGAGAGGGGGUCUUGAGGGAGUUACUGGUGAUACUGCAUGCCUGUGGGUUGGGGGAUCAUAUCCUAUUUUUAUCAGAUGGAAUAUGCUGGACCAGAAAAAAGAACCACUGGGAACUGUGUUCUUCCAACUUUGGUUUCAGAUCCCUCUAGUUAAUGCCAUCCAUGAAAACAAUUAACUUCUCUAUAUUUCAGGAUCCAGGCAGGACCUUGUAGGAAUCUUAUUUAAUUAUGUGCUAUAUUAAUGUUAUAUUGAUUAUGUUAUUGCCUGUAAAUCCAGUUGCUUAAUAAAGCUGCAGUCAUUUUGCAAUAAA
rnacentral:lncRNA from 1 species